rnacentral:rRNA from 1 species
ACUACGUGCCAGCAGCCGCGGUAAUACGUAGGGGGCGAGCGUUGUCCGGAAUUAUUGGGUGUAAAGGGCGUGUAGGCGGCUUUUUGAGUCAAGUGUGAAAUCCCAAAGCUUAACUUUGGAAUUGCAUUUGAGACCGAUUAGCUUGAGUAAAGUAGAGGCGAACGGAAUUUCCGGUGUAGCGGUGAAAUGCAUAGAUAUCGGAAGGAACACCAGUGGCGAAGGCGGUUCGCUGGGCUUUUACUGACGCUGAGGCGCGAAAGCAUGGGGAGCAAACAGGAUUAGAUACCCUGGUAGUCCAUGCUGUAAACGAUGCUUACUAGGUGUGGGGGAUCUGACAUCUUCCGUGCCGCAGUUAACACAAUAAGUAAGCCACCUGGGGAGUAUGGCCGCAAGGUUAAAACUCAAAGGAAUUGACGGGGACCCGCACAAGCAGUGGAGUAUGUGGUUUAAUUCGACGAUACGCGAGAAACCUUACCAGGUCUUGACAGCCAACUAACGAAGCGGAAACGUGUUAGGUGCCCUUUCGGGGGAAAGUUGGUACAGGUGGUGCAUGGUUGUCGUCAGCUCGUGUCGUGAGAUGUUGGGUUAAGUCCCGCAACGAGCGCAACCCUCGCCAUCAGUUGCUACGAAAGAGAACUCUGAUGGGACUGCCGUUGAUAAAACGGAGGAAGGUGGGGAUGAUGUCAAAUCCUCAUGCCCUUUAUGAUCUGGGCUACACACGUACUACAAUGGCCAUUACAAUGGGUUGCCAAAUCGCAAGAUGGAGCUAAUCCCUUAAAGAUGGCCUCAGUUCGGAUUGCAGUCUGAAAAUUCGACUGCAUGAAGUCGGAAUUGCUAGUAAUCGCGGAUCAUCAUGCCGCG